rnacentral:rRNA from 1 species
UACGUAGGGUGCGAGCGUUGUCCGGAAUUAUUGGGCGUAAAGAGCUCGUAGGCGGUUUGUCGCGUCUGCUGUGAAAACUCGGGGCUUAACUCCGGGCCUGCAGUGGGUACGGGCAGACUAGAGUGCGGAAGAGGCGAGUGGAAUUCCUGGUGUAGCGGUGAAAUGCGCAGAUAUCAGGAGGAACACCUAUUGCGAAGGCAGCUCGCUGGGACGUAACUGACGCUGAGACGCGAAAGCGUGGGGAGCAAACAGG